AAUCAAACUUGGAGAUAGCUCGUACUCCCCGAAAUGCAUUUAGGUGCAGCCUCGGGUAAAGUACUGAUGAGAGGUAGAGCGACUGAUUGGAUGCGAGGGCUUCACCGCCUAUCAAGUCCGGCCAAACUCCGAAUGCUCAUCAGCAACAUCCCGGGAGUGAGGGCAUGGGUGCUAAGGUCCAUGUCCGAGAGGAGAAGAAUCCAGAUCACCGGCUAAGGUCCCCAAAUAGCAGCUAAGUUGCAUUAACGAAGUCCGACCGCAGCGACAGCCAGGAUGUUGGCUUGGAAGCAGCCAUUCAUUUAAAGAGUGCGUAACAGCUCACUGGUCGAGGGGUCGGGCAUGGAUAAUAAUCGGGCAUAAGCUGUUUACCGAAGCCGUGAGAUCGAAAAGAUCGGUAGGGGAGCAUUCCAUUAUCAGCGUUGAAGAUGAGAGGUGACUCUUGUUGGAGCGGAUGGAAAAGCAAAUGCAGGUAUAAGUAACGAUAAAGGGGGUGAAAAACCUCCUCGCCGAAAGACCAAGGGUUCCUGAUCAACGCUAAUCGGAUCAGGGUUAGUCGGGACCUAAGGCUAAGCCGAAGGGCGAUGCCGAUGGAAGAACCGGUUAAUAUUCCGGUACUGCUUUGUGGAGUGAUGUGGAGACGGAGAAGUGACAGCUCGGCCAUCUGACGGAAUAGGUGGUUAAAGGGUGUAGAUGUCGAUUGUUGUAGGCAAAUCCGCAACAAGAGUUGAACCUGAAAGUAUGCAGCGUACUUGUACAAUGUAAUAAGAGCGUAAUCAGGCUCCCAAGAAAACCCGCUAAACAUAUCUUCAAAGCACCCGUACUCGAAACGGACACACGUGGUCGGGUUGAAAAUACUAAGGCGCUCGAGUGAUUCACGGUUAAGGAACUAGGCAAAAUGGUCCUGUAACUUCGGGAUAAAGGACGCCAAUAGCAAUAUUGGUCGCAGAGAAUAGGCCCAGGCGACUGUUUAACAAAAACACAUGACUAUGCAAAAUCGAAAGAUGAGGUAUAUGGUCUGACACCUGCCCGGUGCUGGAAGGUUAAGAGGAGAUGUCAUCCGCAAGGAGAAGCAUUGAAUUGAAGCCCCAGUAAACGGCGGCCGUAACUAUAACGGUCCUAAGGUAGCGAAAUUCCUUGUCGGGUAAGUUCCGACCUGCACGAAUGGUGUAACGAUCUGGGCACUGUCUCAACUGUGAGCUCGGUGAAAUUGUAGUAUCGGUGAAGAUGCCGAUUACCCGCGAUGGGACGAAAAGACCCCGUGAACCUUUACUAUAGCUUUACAUUGAAAUUGGGCAUGCGAUGUGUAGGAUAGGCCGGAGGCUGAGAGACGGUGACGCCAGUCAUCGUGGAGCCGCUGUUGAAAUACGGCCCUUUGUGUGUUUGGUUUCUAACUCCCGAGAUAGGGAGGACGGUGUAUGGUGGGUAGUUUGACUGGGGUGGUCGCCUCCAAAAGCGUAACGGAGGCUUCUAAAGGUUCCCUCAGCACGCUUGGUAACCGUGCGUAGAGUGCAAUGGCAUAAGGGAGCUUGACUGAGAGACCUACAAGUCGAUCAGGUACGAAAGUAGAGCAUAGUGAUCCGGUGGUUCCGUAUGGAAGGGCCAUCGCUCAAAGGAUAAAAGGUACUCCGGGGAUAACAGGCUGAUCCCUCCCAAGAGCUCAUAUCGACGGAGUGGUUUGGCACCUCGAUGUCGGCUCGUCACAUCCUGGGGCUGGAGAAGGUCCCAAGGGUUGGGCUGUUCGCCCAUUAAAGUGGCACGCGAGCUGGGUUCAGAACGUCGUGAGACAGUUCGGUCUCUAUCUAUCGUGGGCGUAAGAUAUUUGCGGGGAUCCUGACACUAGUACGAGAGGACCGUGUCGGACAGACCUCUGAUAUGCCGGUUGUUUCGCCAGGAGCACAGCCGGGUAGUUAAGUCUGGAAAGGAUAAGUGCUGAAAGCAUCUAAGUACGAAGCCUUCCUCAAGAUGAGAUAUCCAUUAAAGGGUCGU
rnacentral:rRNA from 1 species